UCAACGCUCCCACGUAAACCAUUUUUCGAGCAUAAAAAAUCCUUGUUCUCACCGAUCGGUACCCAGAAGCUUCUAAAAAUUCAGGGGAACACUAUUGAAAAUAACUAAAAACCAAAAUGUUACGAGUUAUAUUAUUAUUAACAAUAAUUUUAUUCAUUGGCUGCUUCCAUGUCGUUGUAGGUGGAUGUGAUGGUGAUUGGUGUAAUUCAGGCUACCCUUGUCUCUGUUUGGGUUACAAAUGUAGCGAUUCUAAGGACGGUGAAUGCGUAGAAAAUUGAAUCAUAAAAAAGUAAACCUGAUUGCCUCUGGAAAUAAAGUUAUACACGUUUGCUGCUAGAAAUAUACUACAUAUUUAAAAUAGUGAAUUUUUGUUGCAAAAAAAUGUC